AGAUUAGUCGCUCUUGGGCGCUCUCCCAGUACCUUAUGGGAGGGACAUUGUGUUUCCAGUUGGAGAUAUUUUUCAGAGGAAUGUAAAAGAAACGAAACAUUUUCAUCAGGUAGAAGUUGCUCAGAUUCUACUUAAGCAUGGAAGACGGAUGGAAGGUGAACAUAAUUCAUAGAAAUUCAAUGGAAUGAUUGGUGGCGCUGCCAGACACGAACUGCUGCAGCUCCUGGCUGGAUUGGGGACAGGGCAAGAAGAGGAACACAGUGGUGGUGAAAC
rnacentral:lncRNA from 1 species